GGGAAGGUGGCUCAGUGGUAGAGUGCUUGCCUUGCAUGCAUGAGGCCCUGGGUUCGAUUCCUUAGCAAACCA
rnacentral:tRNA from 1 species